rnacentral:rRNA from 1 species
GGCGGCUGCUUUACACAUGCAAGUCGAACGGCAGCAUGACCUAGCUUGCUAGGUUGAUGGCGAGUGGCGAACGGGUGAGUAAUGCACCGGAACGUACCCAGUAAUGGGGGAUAACGCACCGAAAGGUGUGCUAAUACCGCAUACGCCCUGAGGGGGAAAGCGGGGGAUCGUAAGACCUCGCGUUAUUGGAGCGGCCGAUGCCGGAUUAGCUAGUUGGUGGGGUAAAGGCCUACCAAGGCGACGAUCCGUAGCUGGUCUGAGAGGACGACCAGCCACACUGGGACUGAGACACGGCCCAGACUCCUACGGGAGGCAGCAGUGGGGAAUUUUGGACAAUGGGCGCAAGCCUGAUCCAGCCAUGCCGCGUGAGUGAAGAAGGCCUUCGGGUUGUAAAGCUCUUUCGCAAGGGAAGAAAACUUAGCUACUAAUACUAGCUGAGGAUGACGGUACCUUGAUAAGAAGCACCGGCUAACUACGUGCCAGCAGCCGCGGUAAUACGUANGGUGCGAGCGUUAAUCGGAAUUACUGGGCGUAAAGC